rnacentral:lncRNA from 10 species
AGAAGAUGGCUUGUUCUUCCUUAAUUUUCAAGGACUCAUAGAGAAAUGACAGACCCUUCCUACUGCAUUUAAUUGGAGAGGAGCACAGAGACCUGAGAUUAUAAUGAUGACGUCUUAAAUGUCAAGUGCUUCAAAAGUCUGCUGUUGCACUCACUGUCACCCUAAACAGCUCUGGAAACCAAAACCCUGCAGCCACCUAAAGCAUGCCCUGAGUCUCUCAGCCAGGUUUCAUCUGGGAAAUCUGAGUGACAGUGACGUGCAGGCAGCUGGAAGACGCACAGUAAACCGAGGAGCCUGUGAUGAGCUCAGAGGAGGUGAGUUGAUGAUCUGCUAUUUAUAGCCCCACUAAGAGGCUCUGGCCGCCAGCUCCAUGUGAGUCUGGGUGGAAAUGAUGCCUUCGCAGAGCUGAGAGCACAAAAUGAAGUUGGUGAUUCAUGGGCAGCAGCCACUUGAAAAUAUGAACACUCCUGCGUCCCCAGCCCCGCCGGCCUUUCACACCCAUUUGGAGGCGUGUUGAGCAGAGCUGCUAGCCUGCUGCAUCCUAGUCUGCAUGUGUUUGGGCAGGAUGUGAGGACAGGCCGGUUCUACCCUGACAAGGAGCCUGCAAAGGGCAGCAGCACGCCUGGGAGCACUCCAAGAACGUCUGCCCACCCCCCGAGAGGCCUCGGCUGGAACCCAGGGCAGGGCUGAGUAAGAGGUAAGCCCCGAGAGGACCUGCGGUCACAGAGAAAGGACACUUCCUGCUCCUGCCCUCUGUCUCCAGGGGCGACGCUGGCAACAGAGCAGCUUUCUGAUGACGCUUGUUCUGCUGAACAUACAAAAAUUUACAAUGAGGAAACCCUUGCAGCUUGACAUUUCCCCCCGCACAAUUCCACAGCCCAGCACCUGUCACCUGAAAUAGCUAUUGUUUAUUUUCCUCAGUAACAUCUUGGCUUCCAGGCCAAAGUCUACUUGGAGGCCCAAACUCAACUCACCCUAUGUGAGGAAUGCCCUGGAGGUCUCUCAGUUUCCCACAACCAAACUGGAUUUAAAGGGCCAAACCAGGAUAAGGAGGCCAGCUGAGCUCUGAAGCCAGAUUGUCUGGGUUCAGAUUCUUUCUCUACACUUGCAGCCACGUGGCUUCAGUCAAAUUGCCCUCUGAGACUCAGUUUUUCUCAUUGGUAAAAUGAGGAUAAUUACAGAACCUACCUCACUGGGUUGCGGUGAAGGGUGACAUUUGAGUAGUGGUCAGCCCAGCAUCCAGCACAUGGACAGACUUGAUACUGGACACUGCUGCUGCUGCUUUUGCUGUUGAAGUUGUUUUCACUCCUGGGUUUUGGUCCCUGUACUGAUAGCACUCCUUUGCACACAGUCUAUGGCACUGAGGUUCCUUGUGGAGGUGGUGCCCUGAGGCUUCAAUAGAGACCCUCUGCCCAUCACAAACAAACCCCAUAUCAGGCUGCCAAGCAUAGUGGACUUCACCCCGGGGGCAUCUCAGCCCCAUGCUUGACCGGCCCCUGCCUUUGCCUAGGAACCAAGUGCCUUUCCCUUGGGGCUGGGCUUUGCCCGGGUUGACUACCCUGAUGCUUCUGCUCCUCUAUGUCCUGGGGUGGUCUUGGGGGUAUUAACUGUCACCAUCCAGUGGAGGGUUUCACCGAGGGUCCCAGGUGCUAACAUGAGGUCUGUGGCCAGCAGGCAGCCUGGAUGACUGGCCGGAUAGGCAGCAGGGAGGGCCUGGAUGACUGGCCGGAUAGGCCCACCUCACCUAUGGGCUGCACUUGCAGCACAAACUGCUGAUUCAUGGAGACUCAUGAGGCCUUGGCUAUCUGUACAUUCUCCAUCUCCAGCUGUCGGCCAAAAUAUAAUUGUAGUUGUCACUUUGGCAGAGAGAUACUAUGAUGUGUCCUAUCUCCAAGGCAGUGAGCUUUUGGAAGAUAGGAGGGAUCUGCAGCUGCUCCUGUGGAGAGAACCAUUCUGGAAAGUGGUCUGUGUGAAGUGCACCCAGGUGCAGUCCCAGGAGUGGUGUGAGCAGCAGGGUGAGGCCCUAUAUUAGAAUGGGCACUGGUGUUGCCUGUGUCUGCAUCUACAGUAAUGCAAUUCUGAUGACAUCAAUGAAUAACAGAGAGGCUGCCAUUGAAAUGAGGCAUUGUUGGCAGCUAUGCGGACUUGGAAAACAGCCACCAGGCUUAUGCACAAGUCAGAAUCCAUCGUGUGUGGGGUAAAUGAGUGGUUAGACCAUGGGGUACAUGGUGUAAGGGAGAUGAUGCCAGAGACAUAGCUAGGACCAGACUGAGAAGCAAGGGACUCGAAGACCAGGCCAUGCAGCUUGGACUUGAUCCUGGACAUAGGGAAAGUGAUGUGAUUAGAGGAUGUGGGGGUUCUGGGCUCAAGCAUCCUCGAAGGGUCGCACUAAGGGCAAGGCUCCCCCUCCCCACGGCAGUUGGCAAGCAGCGGCUUGCUGUUUGAGAAGGUGUUUACUCCUCUGGAGCAUGAGUCCCACACUCAGAAGGUGCUGAGACUCUGCUCGUAGGGUAAGCAUAUGAAGGGCCGGUCCCAGCCAGGACAGCUGGGAGUGCGCAGUCAGCAAGGCAAAGCACCAGGCUUAUGUCUUCCCUCUUCUUCCAUCCUUCUUGGCCAGGAGUUUAUUAUUGAAGCACCUGUGUGCAGAUGUGCUAAAUGUAGAUGACUGCACCACUCAGGUCAAAGGUCAGGGAGGCUCCUGGGACUGAGAGAUGACCCCGCUGCCUGUGGAUGUGGCCUCCCUCCCCACUAAGGAAACAGCAGAGGCAAACAUCCAAGCUUGCCUGAUGGAGGAAUUCCUAGAAGAAAGGUUCUAUCCUUAUGUACUUAAAUACUGAUUUAGAGGUUGGUUAAUGGAGACAGAAGAAUACUAAGUGUUGGGAGCCGUUACCAGUGGAGGACCCACCCAUGAGCACGGAAGCCAGAGCAUAUCUGGACCAUCAUGUAAGUCCGGAGGAAGACACGAUUCAGUUGACAAAAAUUUGUGUACCCUCCUCAGAAGUGCAUUGUUGUGCAAGAAAUGGUUUGGCAGUGACUCUCCCCUUUCAGCUGCAAGCCAUCAAGGGCUGAAUGCCUCUCCAGUUGCCAGAGGAGGAGUGGCUUGUAGAGCGGAUGUUCCCAGUCUGGCAGAAUCUUCUGUCAAGUGUUCCCUGAGUUGGGCUGCCAGGGGGCAGGUGUUGAACAGUGAGGAAGUCCUCUCACCUGAGCAGCUUCUGAUGCAAGAGGGGUGUCGUGAGUGCCUGGAAUCCUAUGCCUGUGGGUGGAGCGUGAACUUAGCCUCUUCCCUGAGGGUAGGCAGCAUGUCAUAACCACUUCUGGCUGCCCAUGGCUGGUUUGGGGCAAUAUGCCAAGAUGUAGUUUUGCCUAUUUGGUUUGCUUUUUCCUUUAAAAUGUACAAAAGUUAAUAACAUGUAAUGGGUUUUUAAAAAAUUAUAAAAUAUGAGAUACAAUCAGAAAAGUCCAAACAGACCGGGUGAGGUGGCUCACACCUGUAAUCCCAGCACUUUGGGAGGCCGAGGGAGUGGAUCACCUGAGGUCAGGAGUUUUAGACCAGCCUGGCAAACAUGGUGAAGCCCCAUCUCUACUAAAAAUACAAAAAUUAGCUGGGCGUGGUGGUGUGCUUUGCCUGUAGUCCCAGCUACUCAGGAGGCUGAGGCAGGAGAAUUGCUUGAACCUGGGAGGCUAAGGUUGCAGUGAGCCAAGACUGUGCCACUGCACUGCACUCCAGCCUGGGUGAUAGAGCAAGACUCUAUCUCAAAAAAAAAAAAAAAGAAAAAAAAGAAAGAAAAGAAAAGUCCAAACAACUAUACAUACAGCUUAACAAAUAAUUAUAACAUGAAUGCACUCCAGACUGGGUGACAAAGUGAGACCCUGUCUCAAAAAAAAAAAAAAAAAAAAAGGAAAAGGAAAAAAAGAUUUAAUUCAUGAGUGAGCCAAUAAAAUAUUACAACCAAUUCAAAGGAGAACUCAAAGUAUCACAAAUAAUAGUCAGAUGAAGAAAGUUGAUUUUAGAAAUGGAUGCAAAACUGGUCAAUAUCCAUGAGGCAGUAGUCAGUUGCAAUUCAGACACAAUUUGCAUUUCUGUGAACAGGAAUUAUUUGCAUUGGUAUGACGUUUCUACAAUUUAAUUUCUAUCUUGAGAGGGUUGAGAAAUAGUCUAGUCAAAGACAACAAAAGCCAGAGAUAACCUGGAUGAAUAAGUUAUUCAGGACACCCCCCAAGUUUCAACAUCAUUCACAGUUUCUUCUUACACUUGUAAUUGGUUCCCUACCUACCUCCCUCCUAGAAAUUCCCCUCUGCACGUUCCUACUGCCCUGUUUGAACCAGCUGACCCCACCCUUCCUCCCAUGUUAUGGUGAUGGGCCAGGGCUGAAAGCCUAACCUGGGGGAACGUACUUAUCACCUAAGCUGAGCCAAACAAGUGCUCCCAAGGCUUGGACACUGCUUCUACAGGGGUGGGCACUGACAUUGUCAGACUCGGGCAGGCAGACUCAGGCAGGCACACCCAGGGCUGGUAGUCAUAAUGGGCCUUGUAAAAGAUAACCAAGCAUUUUCUGUAAAGGGUAACAGAUUAGGAAUACAAAGAGAAAAAACUGUAGUCCAGUGAGAAAGACAGAGUACCUGUCCAAUGAGCUUGCAGUGCCUGGGAUGACUUCCUGCAUUUGGGUUCCAUUAGAGUCCCCCUUUAUGCCUGAAUCAGUUUGGGUGGGUGUCUGUUCCACUAAUUGCCUAUCUGAAAGAAUAGCUGACGUACAAGAUGUAUGAUGACCUGCAGGGCUGAGGUCUUUUUCUUUUUCUUUCUUUCUUUUUUCUUUUUUUUUUGAGAGAGUCUCACUCUGUUGCUCAGGCUGGAGUGCAGUGGCACCAUCUUGCUCACUGCAGCCUCUGCCUCCUGAGUUCAAGCAAUUCUCCCACCUCAGCCUCCCAAGUAGCUGGGAUUA